UACGUAGGGGGCAAGCGUUGUCCGGAUUUAUUGGGCGUAAAGAGCGUGUAGGCGGCCAAGCAGGUCAGCUGUGAAAAACAUCGAGGCUCAACCUCGAGACGUCGGUUGAAACCGCUUGGCUAGAGUCCGGAAGAGGAGAGUGGAAUUCCCGGUGUAGCGGUGAAAUGCGCAGAUAUCGGGAAGAACACCCGUGGCGAAGGCGGCCAGCUGGGCCAGGUCCGACACUGAGGCGCGAAAGCGUGGGGAGCAAACAGG
rnacentral:rRNA from 1 species